UACGAAGGGGGCUAGCGUUGUUCGGAUUUACUGGGCGUAAAGCGCACGUAGGCGGAUCGUUAAGUGAGGGGUGAAAUCCCAGGGCUCAACCCUGGAACUGCCUUUCAUACUGGCGAUCUCGAGUCCGGAAGAGGUGAGUGGAACUCCUAGUGUAGAGGUGGAAUUCGUAGAUAUUAGGAAGAACACCAGUGGCGAAAGGCGGCUCACUGGUCCGGUACUGACGCUGAGGUGCGAAAGCGUGGGGAGCAAACAGG
rnacentral:rRNA from 1 species